UCUCUCUCUCUCUCUCUCUCUCUCUCUCUCUCUCUCUCAUAUAUAUAUAUAUAUAAGAGAGAGAGAGAGAGAGAGAGAGAGAGAGAGAGAGAGAGG
rnacentral:miRNA from 1 species